rnacentral:misc_RNA from 1 species
AGCAGCCGCGGUAAUUCCAGCUCCAAUAGCGUAUAUUAAAGUUGUUGCAGUUAAAAAGCUCGUAGUUGAAUUUCGGGGUUAGUAGGUUGGUCAUGCCUCUGGUAUGUACUGGUCUCACUGAUUCCUCCUUCCUGAUGAGCCGUAAUGCCAUUAAUUUGGUGUUGCGGGGAAUUUGGACUGUUACUUUGAAAAAUUAGAGUGUUUAAAGCAAGCUAACGCUUGAAUACAUUAGCAUGGAAUAAUGAAAUAGGACGUUCGAUCCUAUUUUGUUGGUUUCUAGGAUUGACGUAAUGAUUAAUAGGGAUAGUUGGGGGCAUUAGUAUUCAAUUGUCAGAGGUGAAAUUCUUGGAUUUAUUGAAGACUAACUACCGCGAAAGCAUUUGCCAAGGAUGUUUUCAUUAAUCAAGAACGAAAGUUAGGGGAUCGAAGACGAUCAGAUACCGUCGUAGUCUUAACCAUAAACUAUGCCGACUAGGGAUCGGAUGAUGUAAUUUUUAAUGACUCAUUCGGCGCCUUAAC